rnacentral:rRNA from 1 species
AUGCACAGUUUCCAACCAAAUGGACUUGGCAUGCACAAGAGAAAGAAUGGAGGAAAAGGCGUGGUGGAAAAAAACAUAGGCAGGAUUUACUAUGCACAACCAACGAGCGGUGAAAAAUACUACUUGAGAAUGAUGUUAAAUACCGUCAAAGGAUGCAGAUCAUAUGAAGAAAUUCGAACAGUUGAUGGGGUUGUACAUCCAACAUUCAAAUCCGCAUGUUAUGCUCUUGGGCUACUUAAUGACGACAAAGAGUGGGAUGACUGCAUCAAGGAAGCAUCCCAUUGGGCCUCUGCUCCUCAAAUGCGCCAACUUUUCUGCACAAUACUUUUAUUUUGUGAGGUGAAGGAUCCCGUAAAGUUGUGGCAAAAAAAUUGGGAGUUACUAUCUGAGGAUAUCCAACGUCGGCAAAGAAGAAUAUUCAAUUUUCAGGCCCUAGAACUCAACUCGGCACUAAUAAAGAGCCUGCUCAUGGCAGAGAUAGAACAACUAUUGACUAAAGGUGGUAAGUCCCUCAAAGAUUUUCCAGGAAUGCCACUACCAGAUAGUUCAGUUCUUCAAGAUCUAAAUAAUAGAUUAGUAAAUGAGGAACUAAACUAUGAUAAAGAUUCUUUAAGAAUAGAACACAUGAAGUUACUGCAUAAGCUAAAUCAGGAUCAGAGGAUGGCUUUUGACGUUAUAAUAGAAUCAGUCAAUGACAGUCUUGGAAAAUUGAUUUUUGUUGACGGAUAUGGUGGAACUGGAAAGACAUUUUUGUGGAAAGCAGUCAUGACAAAAUUAAGAUCUAAAGGAAAAAUAGUUCUAGCAGUUGCUUCAAGUGGUAUAGCAGCACUUCUUUUACAGGGUGGAAGAACAGCUCAUUCAAGAUUUCACAUUCCCCUCAAGAUCACUAACGAGUCCACAUGCAACAUCAAGCAAGGAACAUUUCUUGCGGAGCUAAUAAAGAAAACGUCACUGAUAAUAUGGGAUGAAGCACCUAUGACACACAAGCACUGUUUUGAGGCACUAGAUAAGAGUUUGAGAGACAUACUUCGAUUCACAUAUGCGGACGCAGAGCAUAGACCAUUUGGAGGAAUGACAGUAGUCUUGGGAGGUGACUUCAGGCAAAUCCUACCAGUUAUACCAAAGGGGAAAGGGAACAUAUCAUUUCUGCAUCAAUAA